CGCGCUGCGCCGGCAGCGGUAGGGCUGGGAAAUCCCCUGGCGGCAGGGAGCUGGCCUGGACUGUCCCUCGCAGCGUGUGCAGAAAUCUCUUGGUGUGAAUGCUUAUGACAUUGAAACAACUGUACCUGUCGGGCAGCUCACUGAAGUUCUUAUCACCAGAGGCGAACUGGUCAUACGGUGAUGUUGGAGUGGAGCUCUGCCAGCCCAAACAAUCUCCUUUGAUAUCAGUCACAUAUUAACACAAAAAAGAGACCAGAUUCACAGCAAGGACUCUGCUUAGUCAUCUAACAGCCACUUUGGGCACCAUAAUGCAGCAUUUAGAUUCUCAAAAAUCUGUCACUGAACUGUAUACUGCUGGGCAUGGAGGAAAAAAAAAAUCCUGUGUAAACCUCAACAUCUGCCACCUGUAUCAUAUCAAAACCCCAGCAUGGGCCACAGAUGGAGUGCCAAUUUGCUUACCUUGCCUUCAAGACCUAGGAAGCACGUUCAGAGUUUGGCAAAAUUGUAGCCACGUGCUGUCACCCAAAGCCAAAUGGUGAGAGGGGGCAACGUGGAACUUGUAUUUCUUGUCUUUAUUGCUCAGUCUAGUUUAGAUCAGAGUUAGGACAGUGUUUCUGUGCGGGUCCUCCCUGUGCCAUGCGCUGCCUCAAGUAGUGGGGUUUUAGUGCAUCUCCAGUGAAGCAACCAGGAACGUGUGAGUGAGUGAUACUUGUUGCUUGUCAAAGUGCCUGACUAAAGGUGGAAAUAUAGCCUGGCUCUGUGAGAUAGAUUCAUCUGAAAUCUUGGAAACUGAACCUGUUCCUGUUUGCUGAAACAAUCUCAUAGACAGUGAAGAAGAGAUGCGAACUUAACUCCCUUACCCGUCCUGUUGGGUAUCUGAACCACUGAUUCAGUGCUGCUUUCAGUGAGUUUUAAAACAGCAGUAAGAAAUAUUUUGAACAUCCGAAUUUCAAAAUGUUUUCUAUAAUAAACGUUGUUAUUUAUCUAAAUCAAGUGAAGAGGAGUUUAAACCUGGAGCUUGUGUCUUCCAGGUGAGUGGCUAGUCACUGGGCUUAUUAUAAUAAAUUUUCUAGAGAGAAAGGACAGAGCUUUAAAUUACUCUGGAGUUCCCAGCUCUGAACCCAUGAGAAGGAUCAGGAACUUGACCAAAUCUGUGCUUGUGCUGGAGAGUCCUUGGUGCCCUUAUCUGGGCUUGCAGUGAUAAUGGCAGUGAGAGCUCCGACUUUCCCUGGGGAAUCCUGGCUACAUCCGUUGCGGUAGGGCAGCGACAGAGCUGCGUUGCAGGAGGGACAUGCUAUCAAGGGGAAGUACCUCAAGGCACCUGGUUUUGUGGGGAAAGGCUGGCUCCGUGGUGACAACAUCCAUCUAAGAAGAGAGAAGAUGCAGAGCACCCUGUGGAAAAAUGUUUUGCAGUGGCUUGAGACUGACUUUAAACUGGGAUAUCUGGGUGGGGAGAUGCAAUUUCUU